rnacentral:rRNA from 1 species
CGUAACAAGGUUUCCGUAGGUGAACCUGCGGAAGGAUCAUUAAUUAUGUUAAAGCGCCUUACCUUAGGGUUUCCUCUGGGGUAAGUGAUUGCUUCUACACUGUGAAAAUUUGGCUGAGAGACUCAGACUGGUCAUGGGUAGACCUAUCUGGGGUUUGAUCGAUGCCACUCCUGGUUUCAGGAGUACCCUUCAUAAUAAACCUAGAAAUUCAGUAUUAUAAAGUUUAAUAAAAAACAACUUUUAACAAUGGAUCUCUUGGUUCUCGCAUCGAUGAAGAACGUAGCAAAGUGCGAUAACUAGUGUGAAUUGCAUAUUCAGUGAAUCAUCGAGUCUUUGAACGCAGCUUGCACUCUAUGGUUUUUCUAUAGAGUACGCCUGCUUCAGUAUCAUCACAAACCCACACAUAACAUUUGUUUAUGUGGUGAUGGGUCGCAUCGCUGUUUUAUUACAGUGAGCACCUAAAAUGUGUGUGAUUUUCUGUCUGGCUUGCUAGGCAGGAAUAUUACGCUGGUCUCAGGAUCUUUUUUUUUGGUUCGCCCAGGAAGUAAAGUACAAGAGUAUAAUCCAGUAACUUUCAAACUAUGAUCUGAAGUCAGGUGGGAUUACCCGCUGAACUUAAGCAUAUCAAAG